rnacentral:rRNA from 1 species
CUACGGGGCGCACCAGUGAGGAAUAUUGCACAAUGGGGGGAACCCUGAUGCAGCAACGCCGCGUGGAGGAUGACGCAUUUCGGUGUGUAAACUCCUUUUAUAUGUCAAGAAAAUGACGGUAGCAUAUGAAUAAGCACCGGCUAACUCCGUGCCAGCAGCCGCGGUAAUACGGAGGUGCAAGCGUUACUCGGAAUCACUGGGCGUAAAGGACGCGUAGGCGGGUUGGAAAGUCAGGUGUGAAAUCCUACAGCUUAACUGUAGAACUGCACUUGAAACUUCUAAUCUAGAGUAUGGGAGGGGGAGAUGGAAUUAGUGGUGUAGGAGUAAUAUCCGUAGAUAUCACUAGGAAUACCUAAAGCGAAGGCGAUCUCCUGGAACAUUACUGACGCUAAGGCGUGAAAGCGUGGGGAGCAAACAGGAUUAGAUACCCCGGUAGUC